UGGAUGCAAACCGUUAAUUAAUAUCGACAAUAUAAACACAUCUGGCAUUUGAUUAUUUGACCAUUUACAAAAUAUAUCCACAAUCUAGCCAUAAUAGGACUCUACUGAUUCCCCUGUAAAUAUCGUGCUAUUCAUAAAACUUUCUCAAAACUGAUCUUCAAAUCCAAUUGGUCUAAAAUGGAUUAGGAAGGCAUUCCUCAAGGCCUCCCAAUUGGAAAAUCUACCCACUGGUUGCCGAAUAUACCAUUCAAAAGCUGUAUCUUUUAAAGUUGCUAGCAACCAUCUCAAUCAAAUGUCUUCAGUUCUACCAUUAUUAGCCAUGUAGGCUAUCAAGAAUUGAGAUAUAUGGUGAUAGGGAUCAGA
rnacentral:lncRNA from 1 species